ACCCCAAAAUCCUAUUAAUUUACUCAGCCCCCUCUUCCAUUUUUAUAUUUGGGCCAACUGAACCCAGGCCCAUCACCACAUCAGCUACCCUAAGCCCACUUCAAAAUUACUUGAAACCCUUAGCCCAAUACCCCAUAGCUCCAGCCCAGCCUCCCCGACCCGGCCCAAACCCAUUCCCCUUAUAUCCCCUUAACAGCGUCAACAGCAACUCACUCCAAACAGCGUAACGACGUGAAUCAACAACUUCAACCAAAAAACCAUAAGCCCGACAUCAACAACAGCGACAUCAACGCUGUUCCAUAAUAUCAACGGCUCCAAUAACGGCGUUCAACAAUCCAACGGCAAAAUCCCAAAUCAGACAAAAAUCAGAAAUCUUUCAUCUUUUUCAGUUUGGGAUUCACUGAUUUGGGAAAAAAUCAGUCCGUUUCUUUGACCAACCAAAACCAAACGGCUCUUUUAUUUACAUCUCUACUGAUUCUUGAGUACAAAGGCCAUUAAUAUGGAUAUCAAAAAAUUUCAGAAACAGAUUUGAAAUCUUCAAUUUGAAGUUCACUCUUUCAAAACCCUAGCUUCCCCUAUAAAUAGAUAGCAACGGUCACGGGUGAGGAGAGGAAUUUUUGGGGGAAAAUUAGGGGUUCUGGAGACGUGUGUCUCUAACCUCACGCAACCAAAAUUCCGACGAAAUCGAGUUAAAAUCGGGUGGUAAAAAACCUUAUCGUUAUAGGCUCGUCGUCCCAUUCGCUGCCCGGAUGAAGCAUUGAGUCGAGCCUCCUACUUCUUCAAAAGGACUAGUAUGAACGAACAGCCACUGAUAUACACGGAUAUAUAGAAAGUAUACAGGAUUUGUGAUCUGAAAGUGGCUGGUAUAUGCGCAUACAUGAUGCAUAACGAGAUUGGAAUCAAUUUUACGGUUGACAUACGCUGAUAUACAGCAUAUAUACACAAAAACGCAGGGGAAAAGAGCUGUGAUAUACAGCUGGUAUACAGUUCAGAAAUGGAACCAAAGUCCAUAAUUGUAAGCCCCAGAAAUGGGCAGCUUUCUUGCUGGGCCAAUUAGGGGCCCAAUUCAAUUCUUAUAUCCAUGUUUGUAGCUUAUAUUGCUUAUUGUAGCUCAUAUUGUUUAUUUAUAUUAAUUCUUAUAUCCAUGUUUGUAGCUUA